GGGGAAUAUUGGACAAUGGGCGAAAGCCUGAUCCAGCCAUGCCGCGUGUGUGAAGAAGGUCUUCGGAUUGUAAAGCACUUUAAGUUGGGAGGAAGGGUUUCUGGCUAAUAUCCAGGAAUUUUGACGUUACCGACAGAAUAAGCACCGGCUAACUUCGUGCCAGCAGCCGCGGUAAUACGAAGGGUGCAAGCGUUACUCGGAAUUACUGGGCGUAAAGCGUGCGUAGGUGGUUGUUUAAGUCUGGCGUAAAGCCCUGGGCUCAACAUGGGAAUUGCGAUGGAAGCUGGGCGACUAGAGUGUGGCAGAGGGUAGUGGAAUUCCUGGUGUAGCAGUGAAAUGCGUAGAGAUCAGGAGGAACAUCCGUGGCGAAGGCGACUGCCUGGGCCAACACUGACACUGAGGUGCGAAAGCGUGGGGAGCAAACA
rnacentral:rRNA from 1 species